AAUAGUCAACACUAGAUCAGAACAAAGUCGCUCCGUCUCAGAACGAAAUCGCUCGCGUCUCAGAUCAGAACGAUCCACCGUCGCACCAAUCGUCUCACCACCGCCACCACGCCGUUGGCCUGCGGCGACGCCACUCCGCACAGCACCAUCCACUGUCGCACACUCGCCACUGCGACGCCGACGCCACAGCCGCCACCCCCGCCAACGUCCGUAGAUCUGAAGCUCCUCCUUGCCACGGGACGACGACCCCGGCUCCUCUGCGACGCCAGUCUCCCGCCUCCUUCUUCAGCCGGAGAUUGGGGCUGCCGGCGCGGCUUCCUCGUCCGAUCUGCAGAAGUUUGAGGUGGAGGAGGAUUGCAAGGGUACACUCAACAAAGCACCACUCUGCUAUCCAAGUUAACAGGGUCAGCAAAUCUGGUGCAUCCAUUGACUCAGUAUCAAAUGAAGACAAGUUGGAGUUUUAUAGUUUAUGCAUGUAAUGACAAACAGAUAAGUUGUGAUGAUGUUUUCUUUUUUAGUCCUAAGGUUUCUGUCUUCUACUCUUCUGUGGAGAUGUUUAUUAUCUUUCGGUUCCUAUCAAAGGUUGCUUAUGGAGGUAACAGAAAUAAAUGCUAGACCUUCUUAGAUGUUAACUUUCAAAAUAUAUGCUAUGAACUUCAAAUUGCUGAUGAAUGAAUUAAUGAAAGUCGUCCUAGUACCAUGAUAUAUGGAGUGUGAUCAGUUCUGCUGUCAUAUUUUCUUUAGAUUGACUACUGCUGCUUAUAAAGAAAUUUAUGCAUCUUGCUCUUCUGUCCUUACAAUGAAACUAAGUUGAUGGCAAGAGACACUUCACUAUAUUGAACUUGGAAAUUCUCUAGUACCAAAUCUGGAUUUUGCUUUACAUCUUUUGAUAACUGUUGGAAUCUAAAAUUGG